rnacentral:misc_RNA from 1 species
GAUGAAGAACGUAGCGAAAUGCGAUACUUGGUGUGAAUUGCAGAAUCCCGUGAACCAUCGAGUCUUUGAACGCAAGUUGCGCCCGAAGCCAUCAGGUUGAGGGCACGUCUGCCUGGGCGUCACAUAUCGUUGCCCAAUGCCUAUUGCAGUGCAAUAGGAAUUUCUAGGGCGAAUGAUGGCUUCCCGUGAGCGUUGUUGCCUCGCGGUUGGUUGAAAAUCGAGUCCUUGGUAGGGUGUGCCAUGGUAGAUGGUGGUCGAGUUAGAACGAUACCGAUCAUGUGCAUGCUCCCCAAAAUAUGGCCUCUAUGACCCACACGCGUCUUUUGACGCUCAUGACGAGACCUCAGGUCAGGCGGGGCUACCUGCUGAAUUUAAGCAUAUCAAUAAGCGGAGGA